rnacentral:rRNA from 1 species
AGCGAACGCUGACGGCAGGCCUAACACAUGCAAGUCGAGCGCCGUAGCAAUACGGAGCGGCAGACGGGAGAGUAACACGUGGGAACGUGCCCUUCAGUUCGGAACAACCCAGGGAAACUUGGACUAAUACCGGAUACGUCCGAAAGGAGAAAGAUUUAUCGCCGAAGGAUCGGCCCGCGGCUGAUUAGCUAGUUGGUGAGGUAACGGCUCACCAAGGCGACGAUCGGUAGCUGGUCUGAGAGGAUGAUCAGCCUCACUGGGACUGAGACACGGCCCAGACUCCUACGGGAGGCAGCAGUGGGGAAUAUUGGACAAUGGGCGCAAGCCUGAUCCAGCCAUGCCGCGUGGGUGAUGAAGGCCCUAGGGUUGUAAAGCCCUUUCGGCGGGGAAGACAAUGACGGUACCCGCAGAAGAAGCCCCGGCUAACUUCGUGCCAGCCGCCGCAGUAAAAC